UAAUCCAUCAAAUGGGGUCCACUUGACCAUCCCGGCCCCACAUUCAAUCAUGGUAUAUUUACAGUCGUACGGGGCCCUAGCCAAGCCCCCGGCCCUCUAGAUUCCCUACUAUCUUCUACACCGUCAAACCCUGCGCCGUCGACGGACUGAAAUCACCGGCAACCGUCAUACCCUCGCCGGCUCACGCUACCCCGGUCUCCUCGGUACUCGAUAGUAGCUCAGUGUGGAGAGAGGAUAGAGAGAAGGAGGAGCACCGAACUGAGCUCAAGAGCGAAAGGAGAAGAGGAGAAAUGAGUUGGGAAUCGAAGUGUUUGCGAGUCUGAUCUCUGCGCACAAUUCAAUUCGUCCGAGGAGAUGUGAGAGAUUUCGGAUUUUCAGCUUGUUCUCACUGUUCGAUUCUAAAAUCUGUCGUUGUUAUGCGUGCGAUUUUCGGCAUCUGAGCUCGCUAAGCUGCUCUGAUUUCAGCAGAUACUGAUAUGAAUAGAGAAGAUUUAGGGAACAUCAUGACUGUAAGAGCAAAGCCAACAGGUUCACUUGUUCUGAAGAAUAAUACCCACCAUGAUGAUGAAGGAGAGUCAAGACCUGAACCAUAUGUUGGCUUAGAAUUUGAUACAGCUGAAGAAGCACAGGAGUUUUAUAAUCUUUAUGCAACAAAGGUGGGAUUCAGGAUUAGAAUUGGUCAGCUGUACCGAUCCAGAGUUGAUGGGUCUGUAAUUUCCCGGAGAUUUGUGUGUUUUAAGGAGGGUUUUCAGACUAAUACAAGAGUUGGUUGUCCAGCGUUCAUAAAGGUACAGAAAGCUGAUUCUGGGAAGUGGGUCAUUGCCACUAUCAAUAAGGAACAUAAUCAUGAUCUUGAACUCCCUGGUGAAAUAACUCCAGCCCGUAUCCAGAGAAAAUCUCUUCCUGCUCCAAGAACGACUACAGUUUUGUCUGCUAGGACAGGACUUAGAUCAACUGAUGAGGAUGGACCAUCUGGAGUACUUGAUGCUAAACGCCUUAAAAGGGAGGAAGUUGGUGGUGAACCUAAAGGUGAACCAUGCAAGGGUCUUGAAUUUAGUUCUGCUAAUGAAGCAUACAAAUUUUACAGCACCUAUGCUGCUAAUACUGGGUUUAAAGUAAGGAUUGGUCAGCUAUUCCGUUCUAAGCUUGAUGGAUCAAUUACAUCGAGAAGAUUUGUGUGCUCCAAGGAGGGGCAUCAGCACCCAUCUAGAGUAGGUUGUGGAGCAUUCAUGAGGAUACAAAGGCAAGAAUCUGGAAGAUGGGUGGUUGAUCGCCAUCAAAUUGAACAUAAUCAUGAUCUUGACCGUCCAACAGAUACUAAUAGAAGACUGUCUACUUCGGUUGUAUUCAAAGAGGAAGCAAGCAGUGGGUUGGAUAAUUUGGAUUUCAUUGAUUCAAAUGGUGACCUCACCAUUGUCGUACGUGGUCGAGAAAGUAAAAUUGGAAGUGAUUGGUAUGCUGUGCUUCUUGAGUAUUUUCAGACUCGGCAAGCGGAAGAUAUGGGUUUCUUUUAUGCAGUGCAGAUGUGUGAUGGUAGAGCUAUGAAUCUUUUCUGGGCUGAUGCAAGAUCCAGAUUCUCCUGCACACAGUUUGGGGAUGCUAUUGUGUUUGAUACUACUUACAGGAGAGGUAGUCAUUCAGUGCCGUUUGCUUCUUUCGUUGGGGUUAAUCACCAUAGGCAACCUGUACUCCUUGGAUGUGCCUUAAUUGCUGAUGAAUCUGCUGAGUCGUUUACUUGGGUACUUCAAGCUUGGCAAAGGGCAAUGUCUGGGAGGCGUCCUGUAUCUAUUAUAGCAGAUCAAGACUGGGCCGUUCAACAUUCAAUUGCUCAGGUUUUCCCUGGGACACAUCACCGCUUUUCUGCAUGGCAAAUUGUGUCCAAGGAACAGGAGAAUUUAGGUGCAUUACUCUCUCUGAAUCCCGAGUUUAAGUAUGAGUAUGAGACCUGCAUUUUUCAGAGUCAGACUGCUAAUGAAUUUGAUGCAGCAUGGAAUGUUCUUAUCAAUAAAUACAACUUGAAGGACAAUGCUUGGUUGAAAGAUAUGUCCAGGAUGCGCAAAAGUUGGGUUCCGUUGUAUAUUAGAGGCACAUUCUUUGCUGGCAUACCGGUGGAUGGAAGCUUGAAAUCAUAUUUUUGUCCAAUGUUGACACCCCAAACACCUCUCAACGAAUUUGUUUUACGUUAUGAGAAAGCCAUUGAGGAAGGCAGGGAUGAGGAAAGGAAAGAGGACUUUAACUCGUUGAAUUUGCCAACAGUUCUUCACACAAAAGAUCCCAUUGAAGAGCAAUGUAGAAGACUUUACACCACAGCAAUGUUUAAAGUCUUUCAGAAAGAACUUAUGGAGUGCUAUAGCUAUGUAGGGAUAAAGAUAAAUGUUGAAGGUGCCAUUAGCAGGUACCUGGUUCAGAAGUGUGCACCAAAUGCAGAUGAAAGGAAUACUGUUGCCUUCAAUGCAUCAAAUCUCAAUAUAAGUUGCAGUUGUAGAAUGUUUGAGUUUGAAGGUGUGCUUUGUAGACAUGCCUUGAAGGUUUUCCAGAUAAUGAAUGUAAGGGAACUUCCAUCUCGCUAUAUCUUACACCGAUGGUCAAAGAGUGCAAAAUAUGGUAUCCUAAGGGAUGUAGACUCUGGAGGUGGCUCACAAGAUUUUAGGGCCCUGAUGUUGUGGAGUUUAAGGGAAGAAGCCAAUAAGUUCAUUGAGACUGGAGCGACUAGUUUAGAAAGAUACAAACUUGCUUUUGAGAUCAUGCAGGAGGGUAACAGAACUCUCCGGUGGCAAAACUAGGAAGUGCCUCAAGCCCAGGCCAGGGCAUGGGAAGGUGAAUGAGAAAUUCACCGCAUCAUGAUGCAAUAAACAUUCUGCAGAUUAAAGCAACCACUCAACCUGGAAAAUCUUCCAGCCAUGCUGCAAUAUUCAUCAACACAAAACAUUCAAUGUCAGCUUCUGAGCACCCAGAGCUUCAGCUUCAAGUUUAGGCUCCCAUAAAACGUGUCACGCCCUACAUGAAUCAAGCAGCCACGGUUAGCUACUCCCUGCAAAUCAGCCAUAAUACCUUGGCAAAGGUAAUGUGAUUUCCCAAUGUAUGCUCAUAGAUUAGUAUAGUGUUUACAUAUUACUGGUAAAGCAUACCCUAGAAAAUGCGUUGAUAUUGUCAGUUUCGUGCUUUCCAGUCAAUCUUCUCUCAUUUCCUUCUCCAUAGAAUCGACAGAUUCAGAAUUUU